rnacentral:lncRNA from 1 species
CUUUCGGACGUACGAUGAGAGUGUCACCAACUUCUGCUUUUAUUGUGAUCUUUUCCGUGGUGCUCCUAAUUUCCCAGACAAGUGGUUUCAAAUACUGGAAGAAGUUGAAGGAAAGCGUUUGCAAAUGGCACAAAAACGAUGUACAUACUAACAACAAAUGCAAGAGUCACUGCGAGCAAAAAUGGAAAUUUCCACGGGACGACCACACCCAAGCGCCGUUCGCAACGGGUCACUGCUGGUCAAAAAAAUGCAUGUGCGAGGUCGCCCAGGAGUAUAAAGGCUACUUAAAAGGCGUCGACAAGAAGAGGACCAAAUGUGUUUUUGACAAAGUUUGCAAGACAAUGUUCGAAAAACUUCAGAAUCAUUUCAAGACUCUUACUAAUGUGCACAUUAGGCGGCACACACCGCACACACCUUAGCCUCUAGGCGAAGCGCAUCAACGACUUGGCGGUGCUGCAGUGGCGAGGCGUGAAUGAUCGACUAUCGAUAUUUCCCCAUUUGAAGCUACGUUAAAGAAUCGAUUAUUAUGGCGUUCGCUGCAAACACCCUGAUAAUCGAUCAUUUUCCAUAGGUUUAAAUGGCAGAUCAAUCGAUAUAUCGCAAAGCACGCCACGCCACUGCGGUGCUACUGAGAAACGGCAUGCAUCCAAACGUUCGGACAUUGACUCAAGAAUUCAGCAAUAACAUUUAUUUUAGAGGAAAAAUAUUAGUAUUUUCCUCAGAAAAUCUACAGGUGCCCGAAAGCCGGAUUUGUCACCCGGAAUUCGGUCAAAAAUUUCAGGUACGCCAAAAGGUUUCCUCCGAGGCCAAUUUUAUUUCUUAAUAUCUCCAUUUUGACAUUUUGACUCAGUUUUGAAGUUCUAAAAAGUGUUUGAAAUGGAGGACGUUUUCCCAAAAAUACGUAUAAAUACCGAAUUUGUUCGUUCAUUUUCAGUAAUACUACGUUUACUAUUGGCGAAAAGCUGUCUGAUCCUUACCUUCAUGUAAUGAAAUUCCGUACGAAAAAUUAAAAAAAAAAAAAAAAAAAAAAAAAAAAACCGUUACGGACACAUACACUAUGAAGAUACUUUGGAUUAGACUGGGAGUAAAAUACUUUCCCAAAAGCGUAAGUUUCCACUAUUGCUAGGAUAAUAGAGAAGUUCAUUAAUCGUCUCCGUUGUAAUCUUCUAAUAAA